ACCGAACCGGUUCGAAAAAAAACCGGUUCGAAAAAACCAUAAAAAUGCCUAACCCCACCCCCCAAACGAGCAAAGGUUGCUGCGCGAGUGUGAGAGCGCCCCCCCAGCCGUCCCUGACCCUAACCCCCCAAAUCCCCAAUCCCUAACCUGCGGCUGCGCUCUCUACUCUCUAGUCUCUAUCAUCAGUCGCUCUCGCUCUCGCCAAUCCCAGUCGCUCUCGCUCUCUCUUCUCCAAAUCCCAGCCGCUCUCGCUCUCUCUUCUCCAAAUCGCCAAAGCACGACGCCGUCGCCACCCACAGCACGACGCCGAAGCCUUCCUCUUCGCGGAGACGCCACCCACAGCACGACGCCGUCGCCCACGCACAGCACCACGCCGUCGCCAUUGAGACGCCACCACCCAGCGCCAGCAGUGUUUCUGGGUUCUCCCACUCAGCGCCACUAUCAUCAGUUCAACCCACUCCCAGCACGGCAGCACCUCCGAGUCUCCCAGUCAGCCUUCCUCCCAAGUCAACAUGGAGCCCGAGCCACCGAUUCAGUUCAUCUUGAAAGUUGGAAUCCUAUGUGGUCUGUUUCAAGUAUACUCACAGGGCUUCUUUCAUUCAUGGUGAGUGCCUUCUUUCUAUUCUAAUUAAAUUCUUAUUCCUUUCAUUU